AUUGCCUGUUCUUCAUCCUCAUCAACCUGUGUUUCUAGUGUUUGCUUGUUGGCCUCUGCAAUCUCACUAGAUUUUGGUGUCAUUGAACCCUCUUUCUCUCCAUUGUUUUCUAAAUCUCUCUUCUGGGUGCUUGUUCCAACAGGUGUUUUCGGCGUGAAUCCCUUCGGAGAAGAGCCUCUAGGCCUAGCAUUUGAUAUUUUUCUCUGUCUCCUCUUAGAAAAAUCUGCAUAUAAAUGCAGUUCAAAUUCUAAACUACAUUCAAAUUCAUCAAUAAGCAUUUAAAACCUAAAUCCAAAUAUUAUUUUAUAUCUCCUUUUUCCUAUAAAAUCCAAAGAAAAAAAAGAGAGCAAAACUUGAACAAACCAGCAGUUGCAGUAAUUCGAAAUGAAACCCCACUUGCUGGAAACUCCUUCGUCCAUGAAUUAAGCUAAAACCAAACACAACAAAGUAAAAAACUCAGUAUCCAGUAGACUCAUACAAUACAGCUUAGUCGCUUUCAUCUGCUUAGAAUGACUUAAUUCUCAUUCACAGAUUAAAAAUUAUAAUCACAGUCACCACAAUGAACAAAAAAGCCAAUGGAAUCGCAAUAAUUAACAAAAACAUUACAAUCAGCAGCACAAAAACAAAAACAAAAACAAAAACAAAAUCAUAAUCACACUAACAAACCAAUCAAAAUCCCAAAAAACAAAAACCUUUAAAAAACCAACAACAACCAACAUUGAAAAGAAACAUCCAACUAAAACCAGAACAAAAAAAACUUCCAUUCUUCAUCCCAGAACCAACAAGACCAAUAACAGUUCCAUCAAAACAAACACAUAACACAUUAAAAAACAGGAAAUAAAUGAGCCGAUGAAUCAUUUUAGAGUAACAAAGACACUUACACUUGUAAGUUGUCCACUUCUACCAUGAGGGAAAGACCCAACAAGAAAAGGUUUAAUCUUUAAACCAUUUCUUUCACUAAAAACACCCCUUCCACUACAACUCAAUGGACUUUGUACUAGCAAAGCCACUUCCAUGGUUUUCUAUUUUCAAAAACAAAACAGAAAGUUUUUGUGCGAGCAAAACCCACUUCAAGCUUUAAAUCUUUCACUCCAAAACUGAACUUAUAGUUGCUAAUCCAUUGAUCAAGACUCGAUCCUUUCUAUUCUUCCAAUAAAAUUAUGCAUGUUCUUAGCACUGUUUAAUUUCUUUCUUAAAAAAAAACAUGUUCUCUGAUAAACAGUACUUCAAAAGUCAUAGAAUCUCGGCCAUAAGUGUCAAAAUUGUUGCUCUCUGUUUUGCAAAAAUAGUGAUCUAAGAUGGGGGUUGUUUUUGGACCGUUGAUUAAUGGGAAAAAUUGUGUCAAUGAUUUUGUAAUGGUAGAGAUGGAUUUGAUGAGAGGGUUUAUUGUGGGGUUGUAUGUGGUGAAGUGGAGCCAGAGAUAAUUCAAAACUUUUUGGGGAUUUUCUUUUGAAAGGGUUAUGCUUUUGAGAGGUUGUUAGUGUAUUAUAGGCUUAGAUGGCUCCAGGAUCCGAAUAAGAAUUGACCCAUCAAAUGGAGACGUGCCAUGUCAGCAAAUCCUUUAUGGCUUGUAGUGUUUUGAAUUUUGUUAAUAUAAAUGAUAUUUCUUUUUUAUUUUUUUUAUUAGUAUAUUAAAAAUAUCUAAAAUUAUAUAUAUAAAAAAUUAAUUUGAAGUAUAAAGAUAAAUUAAAAGUAUUUUUUGAAUGAAAAAACAAAUAUAUUCUUACCAAACUCUAAUUUUAUGCUUUGCCAAUAAAAAAAGAGGUGUUGACUAUAUCUCAGAAAAUUACAGCAAUUUUAUCAUGGAUUGUUCAAAACUCAAUGAAUUUCCUUUUAGAGAUUGUUUGAUAUAUCAUUUUCAUUUUUUAUUUUAAAAAAUCAAAAUUCAAAAUUUUUAUAUUUUUUGUUUUUAAAAAAACUCGUAAGAGGUUGUCAAUUUCUUUUAUAACUAAAAAAAAUGUAGUUUUAAAAAAUUAUAAUAAUUGUAAUUGAUUAGUUUUUUUAUAUAUAAAAAAAUUAGGUUAUAAAUUUUUAUUUUUAAAACCUGGAAAACUAACAUAAAAAAUAAAAAAAAAAUUAAUAAAAUAAUCAAUUGUAGUAAUUAAUUCUAGCCUAACUCAUGAUUCAAUUUAUAAUUUAGUUAAAGGUCAGUGUUAUAAGUUGAAUAGAUUAACUCAGGUCAAUAUAAAAUAAAAUCAUUUAAAAUUUAGAAAAAAAUAGUUAAACCAACAUAAAUUUAUUCUAGAUUACUUACAUCAUACUAGGAUUAGAUUUUACUUAAUUUUAUUUAAAAUCUAAGUCUAGACUAGAAUUUAAACUAGUAAAUUAUUAGGUUGAAUGCUGGGUUGGGUGAGAUUUGAUAGCACAAGUUUAGUGUUGAAAACAAGUAAAUAGUUGAAAUAAAAAAGGCAACUUAAAGUAUAGGUUAAAAAAAAAACAUUUAAAUAUUGGGUAGAUAGUCUUUGGAGGCCUACAAGCAUUAUCGUUUUCAUAUUAUUGCAAGACAAAAGGGAAACAUGAAUGGACAGGUUCCAGCGCAUAAAGCUUACAUGAAAUCUCUCUAAGAGGUUUAACCAAGAAAUAUUCUGACAUUUGUUUUUUAAAAAAACCUUUAAAUAAUUUAAUUGUUGCUUUGAAAUGAAGUUGAUUUAAUUACUAUAAUAAUAAAAAUAAUAUCAUGAGCACUAUUCAUUCACAAGAAAAGAAUAUGGAUUAAUUUAAAUGAACAGAGGUACAUAAGAACGUGCUAAAUAAAUCAUCAAUCUAGGCUUAUAAAGGGAUUAAAGAAUAAGAUCCUCAUUGUAUUUAUUACCUUAAUAAACUUUAGGUUAGGGUUCUUAGUACGAGCAGGACUAAACAAAAUAAAAGGAAAUAUUCCAAUCUAAGAAAUAAAAUAAAAUAAGAAGGAAAUAUGGUCGUGGUUAUCACUUUGCAUAGAAUUUCUCGAUGGGAGGGCAAGGACUUUUGUCAGAGAAAUAAGAUCUCUGAUUUUGAUGAAAUCUUGCAGGGGGGAUUCAGGUGGCUGAGUGAUGGCUGUACAGGUUUUUUAUUAUGUUAUUUAUUUAUUUAUUAUUAAUGUUGAUAUCUAACUUACAUCUAUCUUAAUUAAUCAAACAAGUAUUAAAAUUAAAAUUAAAAAUCAUAUAAAACUUUAAUAUAUCUGAAAGGACUCAAUUUCAUAAUAAUUAGAGGAUAAACCCAAGAUCUAACCAGAUAAAUUACCUCUUAAAGUUAACAUGGUUUUUUUCUCUAUUUUUUUAUAAUAAAGACAAUAAAAAUAGUUAAAAUUACAUGUUUGAGAGUGAUAACAAUUUAUUUUUAAAAUAUUUUUUAUUUUAAUGGUCAACUUUGCAAUUUGCUAAUCUAAGAUCUGUUCAUGGUUAGAUUUUAUUUUGAACUGAUUUUUUUUUAAUAAAAGAGAAGGAUAUUUUUGUUUUUUGAGGAAAAAAAUCUGAAACAAUAUUAUUUUUAUAACUAAUAUGAAUUAAGAGUGGCGAUGGGGAUCGGUGGGGGCAUUUACAUGAUUGAUUGGUGGAAGACCUGUUCAAGGCUCUGAUUAAUUAUGAGUCAAGAAAUUCCUGCAAAUGCCAAAAGUUUCGCAAAUGAUUAAGGGCGAGAGAUUGGUAUGGCCUACAGAAAGAUAAGCUAGAAUUUGGUAAAUAUCUUUGAUGCAUUGUUCUACUUCCCAGCCACCUCAAUAGCUGCAAAGUCAGUUUUUGGGUUUUUUGAAUAAAAAAACUCAAUUUUUUAAAUUGUUUUCUCCUGAAAAUAUAUACAUAAAAAAUUCAUAAUGUAUAUCCCUUUCUAAUCCCAAAACACAAACAAAUUAGAUUAAAAAUAAAAUUAGAUGGAAUCAAAGAACCUUCUCAAGUUUUGAUUUACAUUUACAAAAAUAAUAAAAAUUUCAAAUCACUUUUAUGAAACUCCACUAUUUAAGACGCUAAUAUUAAACCUUAAAUGAUGCCAAUCAAUCAUUUCCUUUUUAUUUUUUUUGGUAACUUUUUCUCGCCUCUGACUACAUGGUAAUAAUCCCGAGAUAGUAAAGAUAAAGAAAAUGAAAAUAAAAAUAUAUUUGAUUGAGAAGAUAAAAACAUAGAUAUAAAAAUAAAUCUAUCAUCAAGAUAAUUUUGGAGUGGAUUUCUUCACUUUCAAAAUAGAAGGUACAAAAGAGAUAUAUUUUCUUAGAUAAUAUUUAUUAUUUUUUAUUUUAAAAUUAUCCUUGUAAAAAAAAUCUUAAUUCCAAAAUUAUCAAAAUAAAACAUAUAAAGAUAAAAAUAAUUACUAUUAUAAUUUUAAAACUUAACUUGGGAUCGAUCCAUGACAAGGCCUAGGUCAUAGUUCGGGUUGACCCGAGUCAAUAUAAUAAUAAAAGUUGUUAUUAUCAUAGUUUUAGGACUUGAAUCGCGUUUGACUCGAGAAAAGCCUCGGGUCAUGAGUUGGGUUGAUCGUUGACUUAGGUCAAUUUAAGGAUAAAAGUUGUUAUUAUCAUAGUUUAAAAACUUGAUUCAAGGGUCGAUGUGGGGCAAGGUUUGAGUCAUAGGUUGAGAGAGUCAAUGUAAAAUUAAAAGUGUUUAUUAUCAUAGUCUUAAAACCUAACUCAAUGGUCAACUUUGGGCAAGACUCGAGUCACGAGUUGAGAGGGUCAACCCGGGGUAAUUUGGGUCAAUGUAAGGAUACAAAUAUUUAUUUGUAGUUUUAAAACUUGACUCAACGGUUGACAUGGGCAAGACCUGCGUAACGGGUUAUGAUGACUAACCAAGGUGAAUUUGAGUCAACGCAUAGAUAAAAGUGAUUAUUAUUAUAGUUUUAAAACCCGACUUAAGAGUUAAAUUAAGGCAAUGUUUAGGUCAUGUGUCAUGGCUUGAAUCACGGGUCGAGAAGGCCAACCUGAGUUAAAUCGAGUCAACAUAAAAAUAAAAAUGGUUAUUUUCAUAAUUUUAAAACUCGAUUUGGGGUCGACCCAGGGCAAGACUUGGGUCACCGAUCAAAAGGGUCAAACAGGCUUGAUCUAAGUCAACAUAUAGAUAAAAGUAAUUAUUAUCAUAAUUUAAAGCUCGAGUUAGGAGUCGAGUCGCAGGCCAGGAAAAUCAACUUGGGUUGAUCUAUUUUUUCUUUUUAAAAAGGAAUCAAAGCAACCUUAUUUUGAUUUUUUUUAAUAAAAAGUCAACUGAUUUUUUACCAAGUAGAGUCGGGUAAAUUAUUCUUGUAUUUUUUCCUAAACUUGAACUAGUUUAGACUCUAAGUUAGCCAGGUUCCAUGCAAGUCACCAGGCCAAUCCGAAUUUAAUAACUAUGGUUAUAAUAAUAUUAUUAAUUUUAGCACACAAUAUAAAAAAAUAUCUAAUUAUAUUUUAAAUACGUAAGUUUGACAAUAAUACAUAAUAAAGGUAUAAUAGACUUUUUAUAUUUUAUCCACCAUAACUAAAUAUAUUACAGAGACAAUCAUUUUAUUUUAUACAUCUUUAUCAAACACAAUUUUAUUAUUAUUAUUAUUUUUAUCUUAUCUCCUCUGUAUUUACUAUCUGCAUCUUUAUUGUCUCGGGAUAAUUUCCAAACGGUAUCUUAGGAAUCGAAACAUGACAAAAAUAAGCUUAAAAUCAAAACAUAAAAUUAAAAAAAUAUAGGGACCAAAUAAAAUAGUGUGCUAUAAAUUUAUUUGUUUUUAUCAUAAAUAUAACACAACAUAUUUCUUUUUCUUAGAGUUAAUAAAUUAAUUCAGAGUAUCCAGUAAGAAAUGUGGGGUCUCUUUUGCCUUAUUUUCAAGAAAGUGGUUGGAUGCCUUCGGAAGAACUUUCAACAACAGACUUUUCUAUGCACAAUGUCAAGUCCCCUACGCGUAAUAGACAUAUCCUGUUCUUCAUGGAACCUUCAAGUAAAGCUUAGCCCAAUGAAAAAAAGAAAGAAAAAGAAACCCUGUUAAUUGGAAUCCAAACUUUUUAUUUUUCUUAAACUAAUUCUGCUUCAAUGUCACUACUGAAGUUGCUUAUGCAUUUAUCUCCUCUCUUGGUUGCUCAUUUAUUCGUAUCAGGUAUGGUACAGCAAUCUAUCACACCUUUUCUGUUCCCAUCUCUAAUUCUGCUACACAAUUAAUUAAGCUGUUAUCUUAUGUUAUUGCUCGCAGGUGUUGAUUCAGUAACUUUAACAAUAUUAAACAAUUGUGACUACACUAUAUGGCCAGGAAUAAACUCAACAUAUGAUCCAAAACCUCGCUUAUAUGUCACCCCAACGAUCCCAACUGGUUUUUCCCUUGAAAAGAAAGACUGGAAGGACAUAACACCCUCGGAUGAUUGGGCUGGUCGUUUAUGAGGUCGCACAAAUUGCACUGAAGAUAUUGAUUCAGGAAGAUUCUCCUGCAUCACAGGCGACUGCGGCUCUGGCCAAAUAGAAUGUUCAACAGUUCCAGCUGGCUCGAGUCCUGUGACGAUGGUAGAGUUCAAGAUUAACUAUGGUGGACUUGAUUUUUUUAAUGUUAGUCUUCUUGAUGGCUACAACCUGCCUUUGCUUGUUCUGCCUUCUAACCAGAGCUGCAACAAAGCAGGAUGUGUGGUGGAUUUGAACGGCGUUUGUCCUUCAGAACUUACGGUUAAUAGUUCUGAUGGGAAGAUUGUGGCGUGCCGCAGCGCGUGUGAGGCCUUUGGUUCACAGCAAUACUGUUGUACUGGUGAAUAUGAAACACCUUCGACUUGCAAGCCUACUUCUUAUUCUCAGAAUUUUAAGAAAAAGUGUCCAAGCACUUACACCUAUCCUCUUGACGAUGAGACUGGUACCUUCAGUUGUGAAUCAUCCGAUUACCAAAUUGUCUUCUGUGCAGGUAAAUUUACCAUUUUUCAAUCUUGUAGUUUUUUGAGUUUGGUAUUCUGUUUUUAAUCAUUUCAACAUUUAGAGUGGUGUAAUUUGUUUGAUGAGAAGUUAAGAAAGCCUGCACAAAUAGAAGUUAGUUUACCACAAAGACACAUUCUAUAUAUAUUGUACUGCACGUUGAAAGAAAUUACAACUUACACAAUUCAUCCACAAUUCAUACAUCUGUUCUUUGACAUGCUUACAUGUCCAUCACAGGAAACACAACUGUAUACGAGUCAUUGACAAGAAACACGACAGUUGUUUCUUCAGUACCUGCCGAACCGCCGCCAUCAACAACUGUGAUAAUAGCACCAAGCCCUUCGCCACAAGGGAUAACGCCAACAAGCCCUUCGCCACAAGGGAUAACGCCAGCAAGCCCUUCGCCACAAGGGAUAACGCCGCCAAGCCCUUCGCCAGAAAUAAGGCCUAAAACUCCAAGAAGUUUGGUACCAAUUAUAGCAGGAGUUAUAGGUAGUGUUCUUCUUAUCAUUUCUUUUGUAGUGAUUUUUAUUUUGAGGGCAAGAUGGCGUGGGAAGUCCGAGCAAGAUCAGCAGGAUGUGGAAGAUGAUCAUAUAAAGCAUGUUCCAGGAAUGCCUGUCAGGUUCUCAUACCAGGAACUGUACGUUGCAACUGAUAAUUUCAACGAGAGACUUGGAAGAGGAGGCUUCGGGUCUGUAUUCAAAGGAAAAUUGGGAGAUGGAACGCAAAUUGCUGUGAAGAGGUUGGAGAAACCACGCCAAGGAAUGAGUGCUUUUUUAGCAGAAGCCGAGGCAAUUGGAAGUCUGCACCAUUUUAACUUGGUGAGGUUGAUUGGAUUUUGCGCAGAGAAAUCCUCCAGGCUUCUGGUUUUUGAGUAUUUGAGCAAUGGAUCGUUGGAUAAUUGGAUUUUUAUGAAUGUACAAAGACCUAUCCUUGAUUGGCAGACCAGGAAGAAGAUUAUAGUCGACAUAGCAAAAGGGCUGGCUUAUCUUCAUGAAGACUGUCGACAUACCAUAAUACAUCUUGAUGUAAAGCCACAGAACAUUCUUUUGGAUUCAAGUUUCCAUGCCAAAAUCGCUGAUUUCGGGUUAUCCAAGCUAAUCAAUAGAGAUAUGAGCCAGGUUCAAAUCUCAAUGAGAGGAACACCGGGAUAUCUUGCUCCAGAAUGGCGUCAACCAUUAGGUCGUAUUACGGUAAAAGUUGACAUAUAUAGCUUCGGAAUUGUCCUCCUUGAAAUAGUUUGUGCACGCAGAAAUGCAGACCAAUCACAACCAGAAUCUGCCUUUCAUUUGCUUACAAUGUUGCAGAAGAAAGGUGAUCAAGAUAGAGUAAUAGACAUUGUGGAAAAUUUGGAUGAAUACACGCGGAGUGAUAGAGAGGAAAUAACGAGGAUGAUAAAGGUUGCUGCUUGGUGUUUGCAAGAUGAUCCAGAAAGAAGACCUCUCAUGUCAACAGUUUUAAAAGUGCUGGAAGGUGUUAUGGAGGUAGAUUCAAACAUGAAUUAUCGGUUUUCGCAUGCAAUGAUAUCUUCUCCAGCUGGUAACAACCAUAUUUCUUCAGCACCUCCUCCAGCAUCUGUUCUUUCCAAUCCUAGAUGAUGUUGUAAGACUCUUUCUUCUGGCAGAAAUAAAAUCUAUCGCUUCUGCUACUUUUCCAUGCUAUCCUAAGCUAACCACUGUUUUUUUUAGCACUUGUCUAGCAAGGUAUUGACAUGUCUCAAGUGGUUUGCCGGUGUACUGGAGUAUAGUCUUCAGAAUUUUCAACAUUUGAUUAUUCAAAGUCGUUGGCUCUAGACUAGGCACUUUGAGAGUUUUUCAGAUGUGUGUGGAUGGAUUGUAUCCUGUAGAAAAUUUAAGAUGCGUUUCAUCUGCCUCAAUUUUUUUUCUUAAAAAGGAUUUUUUUUAUAUGAUUCAUCACUCUCUUUAUAACCUAUCAUUAACCUCUUAAACUCCCAAGAAAAAGAAACGUUAACAUAAAUGUUUAAUUACUCUUUACCCAAAACACUUAAUUUUUUUUAUUUCUAAGUAUGUAGGAUUAAAAUAUUAUCAAGAUGUUUCUAAAAAAGUAUCAACCUACCUUUAAUAAUUAUGAAAAUUUCAAUCCUUUUUAAUAUUUAAAAAGAUUUUUUUUAUUGUUUUUUAUAUUUAUAUUGAUUUUCACUAAAAAAUAUAUCAAAAUAAUAUUAUUUUUUAAAAAAUAUUUUUGAUAUUAGUAAAUUAAAAUGAUCUAAAAAUAUAAAAAAAUAAUUAAUUUAAAACAAAAAAAAAUUCAAUUUUUUUCUUCUGGAAUUCCUCCUUUUGCCUUUGCUUUCCUGCCCUCUGUUUCUUCUUCUCUCGUCUUUUUUGUUCUAUAGUCCCUGUGUCUGUCUCCUGCGUCUCCUUCCAGUUCUUCCCACGUUUGUUUUUGUUCGUUCCUCUGUUCUCUCCUACUCCUUUUCUUUUUUUUGUUCGUGGUCUGUUUUUUUUUUUUUUAUUUAUGUUUGCCCAAGUUCCUCUUCUCAGUUUGUCCUCCCUGACUCUCCUUCUUCGUCAGUGUAUUUGUUCCCCUGUGUUCGUUCUAGUCUUCCCCUUUUUUUUUUUUUUACCGUUGACUUAAGUCGAGAAUAAAAGUUAUUAUUAUCAUAGUUUUAAAGUUGAUUUAAGGAUUGAUGUGGAGCAAGGUUCGAAUCAUAAGUUGAGAAAGUCAACGUAAAAAUAAAAAUAUUUAUUAUCAUAGUUUUAAAACUCAACUCGAGGAUAACUUUGAGCAAGAUCCGAGUCACGAGUUAGGAGGGUCAACCCAGGUUAAUUUGGGUCAAUGUAAAGAUAAAAAUAUUUAUUUUAUAAUUUUAAAAAUUGAUUUGGUGGUUGAUCUGAGCAAGACCCGUGUCACAGGUUAUGAGGCUUAACUAAGGUGAAUUUGAGUUCAUGCAUAAAUAAAAAUGAUUAUUAUUAUUAUUAUUAUAGUUUUAAAACUCAGAUCAAGAGUCGAAUUAAGGCAAUAUCUAGGUCAUAUGUCAUGGCCCGAAUCAUGAGUCAAGAAGGCCAACAUGAUUUAAAUUGAGUCAACAUAAAAAUAAAAAUAAUUAUUAUCAUAAUUUUAAAACUUAAUUUGGGGGUUGAUCCAGGGCAAGACUUGGAUCACUAGUAAAGAGGGUUACACAGAAUUGACUUGAGUCAACAUAUAGAUAAAACUAAUUAUUAUCAUAAUUUAAAACUCGAGUCAGAAGUUGACUCAUGGGUCAAGAAAAUCAACUCGGGUUGAUCUAUUUUUCUUUUAAAAAAAAGAAUCAAAGCAACCUUGUAUUGAUCUAUUUUUUUAUAUAUAUAAAAAGUCAACUGGUUUUUUACCAAGUCGAGUUGGGUCAAUCAUUCCUCUAUUUGUUUUUAAACUCGAAUUAGUUUAGACUUUAAGUUUGUCGGGUUCCAUAUAAGUCGUCAGGUCAAUCCGGGUUUAAUAACUAUAAUUAUAAUAAUAAUAUUACUUUUAGCAUACAAUAUAAACUAACACAAAAAAAAAUAUAAUUAUUUUUUAAAUACGUAAGUUUAACAAUAAUACAUAAUAAAGGUUUAAUAAAUUUUUUAUAUUUUAUCAUGUUUUAUCCACCAUAACUAACACAUGAUAUAAAAACAAUCACUUUAUUUUAUAUAUUAUUACCAAACACAAUUCUGUUUUUAUUUGUUUUUCUGUCUUGUCUUCUCUCUAUUCACUGUCUUCAUCUUUUUUUAUCUCGGGAUAAUUUCUAAACAAUAUCUUAGGAAUCGAAACAUGAAAAAAAUAAGCUUAGAAUCAAAUAUAAAAUUAAAAAACUUUAGGGACCAAAUAAAAUAGUGGGCUAUAAUUUUCUUUUUAAUCAUAAAUAUAACACAACAUAUUUAUUUUUCUUAGAGUUAAUAAAUUAACUCAGAGUAUCCAGUAAAAAAAUGUGGGGUCUCUUUUGCCUUAUUUUCAAGAAAGUGGUUGGAUGACAGUUGAAGAAUUUUUUCAACACAAACUUUUCUAUGCACAAUGUCUGUCCCUACGCGUAAUAAACAUAUCACUAGACACAUGACCCGCGCGUUGCCGCGGGUCAUUUGUUUUUAAUAAAAAUAUUUUAAAGAAGAUAUAUUCAAGCAUACCAUUAGCAUACCACCAAUCGCCAUCCUUUUUGUCAGAGCUGACAAGUCUCUCAACAAUGGACAGUCCAUCCUUCCAAUUAUUAUGCCCCCCAUGAACCCAAAGGUCAUUAGCAUGGGCUAGAGGACCUGAGCUUUUGUUAUAAUAUAACUUGAUCAUGUCCUCACCUUUGAACUCACUAGGUUCUACGUGGCAAACAUUAUUGAAGGACCUUGCAGCCUUUUUCAUCAGUUCUUGCAAUGUUCUUCUCCUUUUUUCAAUUUCUGCCCUUGCCUGUGCUCUAUCAGCUUCACUUGCAGCCUUCUCUUCUUCUCUUCGCCUCUGCUCUUCUGCUAAUCUUUCCUUCACAGCUUGCUCCUUUGCAAGUUUCUCCAGUUCCCGACGUUUUUCCUCAAGCAAGAAAUCAUCAAAUGCAAAUGCAUCCAUUCCACCUUCAACAAGAAUGUAGAAAUCCUUCUUGUCAUUAUUGUCAUAGACAUCUUGCCCAUUGAAGAACACGAAGUCCAUCUUAUAUGCUUCUUUUGGAACAUGAACCUGGCAAGACCACCAAUCCCCAUUGAGAUGGGUCUUGCUCAACCUAAAGGUAAAAGAUUUCCAUCUCCAGUCAUUGAACGCUCCCAUAAUCAAAAUAUCUGGUUCGUCACUCAAGGUUGAUAGACUUCUAUUAAGGAACACUUCUAUGUCUUCAUCGGGUUUCACCAUCUGCGGAUAGGCAAACAAUUUGUUACCCUUAGAGAAGUUUUCCUCAGCAAGCCUCUCAAUUUCUUGCUUACGCAAUUUUUCUUCAGCAAGCCUAUCAGUUUCUUUCUUACGCAAUUUUUCUUCCAUUUCCAACUUCAAUUUUAUUUGUAGAGAAUCAUCUUCAGUCUUUCUCGCAUCAAUUGAAAUGCUCUUCUCUUUCACAAUACCAUCAUUCUUCAAGUCAUCAUUUUGGCUUCCCUCUAAAGCAAUUUUAUCCUCUGACAGAGUCACAUCCUUACCAACUCUACUGAUACUUCCAUUUUUUACCACUUGAUUACCAUUAGCAACAGCUACCUUUUUACUCAUCAAAGAUACUUCCUCUCCUAUCUUUUCUUCAUCGACUUUUUUCUCCCCAGAAUGUUCAAUUGCCUGUUCUUCAUCCUCAUCAACCUGUGUUUCUAGUGUUUGCUUGUUGGCCUCUGCAAUCUCACUAGAUUUUGGUGUAAUUGAACCCUCUUUCUCUCCAUUGUUUUCUAAAUCUCUCUUCUGGAUGCUUGUUCCAACAGGUGUUUUCGGCGUGAAUCCCUUCGGAGAAGAGCCUCUAGGCCUAGCAUUUGACAUUUU
rnacentral:lncRNA from 1 species